CGUCGUCUGUCAGUAUAAGGUGCAGUUAGCGGCUGGUCUAGCUGUAUACUAUCUUGCUGGCUAGCAGAGUUGUUGUUCGCUAAUUUGUUAGCUGCCAGCUUUCUGUGACCGUGUAAACACAGCAGUUGCUACGCAGAUAGUUUCUACACCGCUAAUACCCGUUAGGGGCCCCGCGACGACAGCUGCCACUGAUGCAUUUGUCUUAAUGUGAAAUUAAGUAUGCAACGUAAGAGCUAAUAGGCGACCUGUUCCACUCUAGCGACACACCUGCAUUCUUGUAGAGAGCUCGUGCGUGCCAAGAUGUGCUGCGUGAUGAAGAGAGAGAAAUAGGAAAUAGAAGUGGCCCACUGUGCUAGCUUUGCCCUGUAAAAUGUAAUGGACAGAUUAGUAGCGUGAGUUCUCAAAUUUGUUCAGUAAGCUGUAAAGGAAACUCUACUUUGGCAGCCGAGCACUUCAUGUUAUCUGUGGACCAGGCAAUUGUGAAUGGCCAUAUCACUAUCUUCAGCCACGCACUUAUCCUGAUGUUUGGCUCUUACUACUGCACGAACAUUUCUUAUCCAGUAGCCCAGGCAGCAACCUUGGAAUUCUUGCAACGAUGCCUUAAGAUAAACGCCGACAAGGGAUCCAAAGUGGAGUGGAACACGUCUAAGAAAAACCUUGCAGUCAAUCCAAAGGUUCUGACGUUGAUCGCCAAAAUUGCGGACUAUGAGUGGAGAGCAUAAAAAGUUCUUAUUUUUAUCCUGAGGAUAACAUAAUCUGCUGUUCAGUAGCACUGGUCUCCGGUUCAUGGUCAAUGUCAACAGCACAGGUGGCCUGCUUGAUAGGGGAGAAGUGAAAUAUAGGCUGCAAAUCCUAUUCACAUUUAGUUGGUAUGUUACUGUCUGCUGACAGGCUCUCUGUCACUCUGUCCUGCUUUAGGUGUAGCAUUGUCUUAAGUAUUAUCUUCAUCUCAGUUCAUUGUAAUAGGCUAUACAUUGACACUUGUGGUGCUUGCUCUGCAAACACAGUCCCAUUCGUUCAGUUAUUUUGGUAAAAGUUUGUGUUAAAGUGACAACUUACAACAUAUCAAUACUUAUCAGUUAAGUAUAAUCAGCAUAACAAUGACGCUUUUGUUUUACUCGAGUUGUUCUUUGCAUAUGAUUACUUUGCAAAUUUCUCCAAGGGAACCCAAAUGGCCAGCAGCAGCCCUGAAUGUGAGACUUUCAGAAAGCUAGAGCUACUUCUAAACCUGCAGGUUAUGUGCCUCAAAUAUACCCCUUUUC